GUCUCCCUGCCUACAGACCUAACGUGUACCCUCCCAUCCUUUGCUCCAAGCCUUCAUUUUUGGACAUCAGCCUCAAUUUUCCUAGGAAAAACAAAUUUAACCUUUGAUUUAACCUUUCCGCAAGCUAUUUUUACUUCUAUCUCAAGCUUAUUUUAACCUCAGUAGCCAAUAAAUGCUUAAAGGUCAAACACCAUUCCUAAGAGCCGGGCUCCUUACCCCGGGGAGAAGGGCUGAGAUCACCGAUUUUUUUUCCCCCAGGCAAAAUCCCCUCUUAGAAAUGUCCCAGCGGUAGGAGGGUCUAGGCUCAAACCCGCAAGUAAACAAUUUUCACUGUGGGUGCUGAAAGAAGGAGCUGGGAAUUUUCCCUGUGCAUGCCAUCCUUCCCACUCAAAAAGCGCUCAGGAUGUACAGGUCCAUUUGGUGGCAUUGCCAAGACUGGAAAACACUGCUCCGAUGCGACCAGGACCCACCACGUGAACUGCCUCUCUAUUACUGCUGAAGCACGAUAGCUGGAGGUGCGAGGCUCAUCGCGACACGGGAGGAGCAGAUGAGGAGAACCCGCUGCCUCUGGCGGAUCGACAACAGUUGGCACAGCCAGAUGACCUCGUUCAGAAAAUGCACUGGAGAAAAGAAAUCUUAACUUGCAGAGGGAAAACAGUACCAAGUAAGACUGAGGCUGGCCCUAUGUCUUAUCUGCAAGUCUGCUGAAGCCUUUAAAGAAGAAAAGCAAGAAGAAAAGCACCAGGAACUGCAAUGGAGGAGCAUCAAUAAUCCCAUGGAGCAGAGGCCCAUGCCAGAGAUCACAUCAGCCACAGUCCAGAAAAUGUAUCUGCCAUCUUGACACUUCUUCCAGCCAAGGCCCUUACAAAGUUUCAAUAACCACUGCUAUCAAGACAAGUUCAGACCAGUGCUUUCUGUUGAUACAAGAAAAAAAUUUGGAAAUUUAGUUUCCAGCACUGAACUCCCUUAAUUCAGUACCAUGUAUAUAGAUAUUAUACACAGAGAAAGUUAAAAUGUAGUAAUACAGAGCUAUCAAGUUGACAAUAGCUAAGGGAGAACCUGAGCUUUGAAAGAAAACUAUUAGCAAUAUCAGAUUUGCAAGUUCAGCUAUGGGAAGGACCACAAAGUCUGAGCACAUGCUAUAUAUCUUCCUUUUAUUGACUGCUUUGUGGGGAGCUGCAUUUCUUGUUGAAGUUGAGAGCUGCAGACUGCACUCUGUGUUGAUUCUGAUUAUGGAGCGGCAGUAAUUAAACCUCUGGAGCAUUAAGUUACCAUUUUAACCAAAUGCCUGCAUUUUAUCUUGAUGGGAAAUUGAAAGCGAGAUUCAGAUUUUCACAGUAAAUAAAAACUGUUGGCUGUUUCACAGAUAAUCCAUUUCCUCAGUUUAUAUGAGAAAAAUCCUCCUGUACAGUUUCUUCUUCCCUUUUGCAAAUGCACACGCUCCUUGAGGAAGCUCAGCAUCAGCACUGCCAGCCUCUGCACACCUUUCAGCCUGUAAUACAAUAAUUAUAAUCAUAAUGUGGCUCCCUAAUAACACUCUUAAUCCAGGCACCAGUAUCCUUAUCUCCAUGUAAGAAAACAGAAGCACACAAAAUUUUGCUCCAGUGAUAUAAGUGACCAAGGCCAAAGUCAGGAGUAACCCAGCACCCAGGUUCCCAGUCUGUCCAUCAGCUAUAUCGACCACCUGGCUCUGAAGUACUGAUCUUAUCUACAAACAGAUAUGCAAGGUGCAAAUCUAGUUUAUUCUUAGUUCUGUGAUGACAGCCACAGGUCUGCGUCACUGCACACCUGUAGCUUCGGGAUUGGGCAAAUACAGCCAUUUCAGGUCACACAGAUACAAGCUAGCCAUCUAAUGGUGGUUCUUUUCUCUCUGUACAACGCUGAGCCCACUUGAAUGAGCAACCUAAACAGGUGAAUCCCUUAAAUCCACUAUUUUACUGCAAUUAACAGCAAUAUAUUGGCUGGAUUAAGACUGAGAUACUCAGCACUAGCAAAAGGCUGCAAGGCUGCAGCGUGUGCUGGCUCCGUUUUGUGCAGGCAGUGGCGUUAAGUGCUUUGGGAGAUCAGUUAUUCUGAUAAUAAAACAGUUGCUUGUGCAGACGAUUGGGCUCAGUCGCUUUCAAAGCACAGCCGUUGCCGCAAAGGCUUUCAUCCUUUGCUUUCGGAGUAAAGUGCAUCCUCCCUGCCCAGCGCAGCAACAAGUUUACCGCAAAAUACUUGCGGCAUUUGAUGCCUGCAGAGGCAGGUAUUACUCACCCGGUUGCUUCUUAUGCAAAUGUGCUACCCUCACUGGGAUAGCAGGGUGAGGAGUCUGAGUUGAGGGCUGCUGGAGAUGCCCAUCCUUGUGUGUCAUCCGAGUCCAAAGUAAAGACCAGCCGCAGGGCUCGUUUGGGGCCGGAGUUCUCAGCAGAUAGUCCUCCUGCAGAUCUGCGGGUUGACUUGCCACAUUAGAGCAUCGGGAGCUGCACGUUUCUGUGGGCACCAGAGUCUGAGGCUGCAUCACUUCAUCUUCAUCAUCGUCACUCCACCUCCAGCCAUUUGUUGAGUGGAAAUGAGAGCUGUCACAGCACAUAGGUGUACGUACACAGAGACUUCGGCAAAGCCUUGGGAGAGCUCCUGCCUGCACAGCUGCCUUGGAGAGAGCUGUCAGGAGGAGAUGCCUCAAGCACAGACCUGCUCGGUCCCCAGCAGACAUCCACGCAAGCCGAGACACGAGCCGGAGCAUCACCUCCCAGAGACCCUCCCCAGGAGAGUGACACUGGCAGCACUGCUCCUCGCUAUCCCACCCUGUCCGCAGUUCGGGAACUCCUCGUGGAAACCCAAGCAAACUCAGAGCCGAAGUUGUGGUGAAGGUUUCUCCAGAUAGAAAUGUGAUUGUUGCUGGUGUGGUUGAGAACUAAAAUCGAGUAAGAUGGCUUCCAAUUUGAAAAGGAUCACAAAGAAGUCACUUAUUGUGGAGAAAUCUGUGUUUGCUCUUGAAAGAGUAUGAUUUAUUCUAUUAUUCAUAUCUAAUAAAGGAAAUUAAA